rnacentral:rRNA from 1 species
GCUGUCCCUCAAGCCCGGCUUGUGUGUUGGGCCGUCGUCCCUCCCCCNNGGGGGACGGGCCCUAAAGGCAGCGGCGGCACCGCGUCCGGUCCUCGAGCGUAUGGGGCUUUGUCACCCGCUCAUAGGCCCGGCCGGCGCUGGCCGACGCUGAAAAGCAACCAUUUUCUUCAGG